AGGGCCCCGCACAAGCAGCGGAGCGUGUGGUUUAAUUCGAUGCUACACGAAGAACCUUACCAGGGUUUGACAUGCAAGUGGUAGGAAGCCGAAAGGUGACCGACCCUUCGGGGAGCUUGCACAGGUGCUGCAUGGCUGUCGUCAGCUCGUGUCGUGAGAUGUUCGGUUAAGUCCGCUAACGAGCGCAACCCUCGCUGUGUGUUAUAUGUGUCACACGGGACUGCCGGUCUUAAGCCGGAGGAAGGUGGGGAUGAUGUCAAGUCAGCAUGGCCUUUAUAUCCUGGGCUACACACACGCUACAAUGGCCAACACAAUAGGCUGCUAAGCCGCGAGGUGGCGCCAAUCCAUAAAGUUGGUCUCAGUUCAGAUUGUAGGCUGCAACCCGCCUGCAUGAAGAUGGAGUUGCUAGUAACCGCAGGUCAGCUAUACUGCGGUGAAUACGUUCCCGGGGCUU
rnacentral:rRNA from 1 species